GUAGCCAUAAAUUAUUCACGACAACAGAAUAUUCGAAUGGACGAUUAGAUCUUUCAGAUAUAAAGUUUCUUUAAAAUAAAUUUUAAUUUUUUUUCUAUUAUUUAACUAGUGAUCAAAAUGACUCAUAAUUUAUAAUUUAAAUGGACGAUGUGAGCUAUUUAAAAGUUUAUCUAUAUAGAAAUAUUUAUAUCGGAUAAAAUUUUGUUAGAAAAUUCUCUAUAUACUAUGAAAAGUAAGAUCGAUAUUUAUGAUCUAAGAUAUUAUUAACAUUGUAUUAUCACUUUUGUGAGCUUUUUAGUCUCUCUCUCUCUACAGAGCGAGAGAGAGAGAGAGAGAGAGAGAGAGAGAGAGAGCGAGAGAGAGAGAGAGAGAGAGAGAGGGGGAAAUCUUUGUCCUGCUUUUAGAAGCAAGGAAGUUUUAGUAGCCAUAAAUUAUUCUCACGACGGAAUAUUCGAAUCGACAAUUAGAUCUUUCAUAUAUAAAGUUUCUCUAAAAUAAUUUUUUUAAUUUUUUAAUAUUAUUUAACUAGUAAUUGAAAGGAUUUACAAUUUAUAAUUUAAAUGGACGAUGUGAGCUAUUUAAAAGUUUAUCCAUAUAGAAAUAUUUAUAUCGGAUAAAAUUUUGUUAGAAAAUUUUCUAUAUACUAUGAAAAGUAAGAUAGAUAUUUAUGAUCAAGAUAUUAUUAGCAUUGUAUUAUCACUUUUGUGAGGUUUUUAGUCUCUCUCCCUCUACAGAGGAAGAGAUGGGGAAAUCUAUGUAUUGCUCUUAGAAGGACGGAAGUUUUAGUAGCCAUAAAUUAUUUUAGACAACAGAAUAUUCGAAUCGACGGUUAGAUUUUUCAGAUAUUAAGUUUUUCUAAAAUAAAUUUUAUAAUUUUUAAUAUUAUUUAACUAGUGAUCGAAAUAGCUCAUAAUUUAUAAUUUAAAUGAUUAAUGUGAGCCAUUUAAAAGUUUAUCCGUGUAGAAAUAUUCAUAUUAGAUAAAAUUCUGUCAGGAAAUUUACUAUAAUAUGUAAAGUAAGAUCGAUAUUUAUGAUCUAAAAUUUUAACGUUGUAUUCUCACUUUUGUGAGGGAUUUAUUUUCGGUGGUUAAUUUUGAGCUUUUUUUAGUCAUUGGACAAAUAAAUAAUAUCGAAAAAUUGCAAAACUUCAAAUAUUAUAUAUUAAAAGGAAACCUUCAAAUACCAUUCCUGUGGUUUCACACUUUCUCACUUUAGUAUCUUGGGGUUUAAAGUAUAUCACUUUCAUACCCUGUGAUUUUAUUUUUUUUAUUUUGUUAUCCCCUCCAUUAAUUUUUUUCGUUAAAUCAAUGACAAAGAUAAAACUAAAAGGUAUUAAAGUGAAUAUUCGAUAAACUAUAGGUGGGGUAUCUGAAGUUUUUUGUAUAUGAUUUAACGAAGCGUUAACGGAGAGGCUGGCAAAAAGAGAAAAAUAAAAUCACAUGGUACUGAACUGAAACAAUUCCUAAAAUUUAGAGUAUUUAAAUUUUGAUCGAAUUUAGAAGUUUUAGAGCCAAAAUAAAACUUAGCCAAAAGUUCGAAAACUAGUCGUAUCGUAACAACUAUUGAAAAGUUUGGAAACUAGUGUUAUUAACUUUUUUUUUUUCUGUAAUAUUAAAAUUUAAAAAUAUUUGGCUCAACUCUAAGGUGAAGGAUUGUAGGGUUCCAACCCCUUUCGAUCAUAAACUUAUGUUUCGCUUUAAAUUUUAACAAUAGAUUUAAAUCUUCAAUCUUUAUAUCAUGAUCUUUUAUUCUCACAUUAAAAUAAACAUUAAACUUUAGAUAUUAUGAAGGAUAAAUUGUACGUUUGGUCUUCAAACUAUAAGGCAAGUGACGCUUUAGUUCUCAAAAUUUAAUUUGUUAUAAUUUGUUACUUGAACUUUCAAAAUUAUUACAAUCAAAUUUUACAAUCUAAUUUAGUUGACUAAAUUUUAAUGAAUCAUUAAUGUAAAAUUGAUGUAUCAUCUUAAUUAUUAGCACAAUAUCAAUUAUAACACUAUUAUUUUAUCUCUACAUUAACGAUAUAUCAAUAUUUAGUCAAUUAACUGACCGUCCCUAAAGCAAGUGGUAAAGGGCUUGGUGGUUGAUACCCGAGGUCCUAAAUUCGAAUCCUAGUUGAUUCACAUUUCUAGCUAAGUUUAUUUCUAAAUGAAAUAAGUGAAACGGGUAGCGUGCUACCUAUCUCUAAAAAAAAAAAAAAAAUUUAGUCAAUUAAAUUGAAUUAUAGAAUCUGAUUACAAUAAUUUUAAAAAUUUAAGUCAAAAAUUAUAAUUAAUUAAAAUUUAAAAACUAAAAUGUC
rnacentral:lncRNA from 1 species